rnacentral:lncRNA from 1 species
CGUGGCCCUAGGCAACGGUGACUGCGUCACACGCCCCUUCUGUUCCAGAGGCGCGGGGUUCCACGCGGAGGGCGCUGGGGAAGCGCCGCCGGGGGCUCUGGGGACCCGCGUGGGGCGCAGUCUAGGCGGAGGCCAGCGCAGAUGCCCAGUCACGAUUCCGUGAGCAUUCGCCCCCACCGACGACGUGAGAUUUCUGCUCUUUGGCGAUUGUCACUGAUUUCACCUGCGUUAAAAAGGCUGUCAGGAGAGUAGGCCCUGGGACUUCCCAAAGAAGGGACCAAGCUGUACUCCCCCUUCUUCUCUGACCUUUUCAUAAGGACCAAGAGUUGGACUGGCAACACAGUGAAAAGGGUGAACCAAAAGUCACCAAUUUACCUGUGAGAAUAAAGGUCCACAUCCAAAGCAAGUGUACAUAAAUUAACUGGUUAUUUAACAUUCUCAGAGGAACACAGCUUCAGAUAACAGUUUGAUUGCCAUUUCAUGAAAGACCCUGAGCCAGAGGCACCAAAGUAAGCUACAACCGGAAUUCUGAUCCACAGACACUGGGGGAUAAUAAAGGGCACUGAAUGAGCUGUAAAAGGUCAGAAGAAGCCAUCCUGAAGAAACAGCUAAAUAAGUCAUUAAAUUUCUUUAUAUAUCAUGAAAUUAAACACAAUAGUCACAAUACACUGUAUUUAAUCAUUCCUUUCUUUCAGAGCUAUUAGCUGCUUUCUCCUCCAUCAGCUCUCUGAAUGAUGUGCAUUUUAUUGAGGCAGAACAGUGUGGUGCUUGAAGCCAUGGUUAUGAGAGAAGUAAUAAGACAGAACUUUGGCAUUUGUUGCUUCAACAAUGUUUUCUAAAACCUAUCAUAGUUUG